rnacentral:misc_RNA from 1 species
UCUCCGUUGGUGAACCAGCGGAGGGAUCAUUACAGGACUCGCAAGACUCCUACAACCCUGUGAACUUAACUAUAAGCACGUUGCUUCGGCGGGUGUCUCGGAGGGGGUUCUCCCUCCCCGAGACGCUAAACCCGCCGGCAGCCUACUAUACUCUGUCUCUUUGCGUUGGCAUCUCGAGUACAAUCAAACAAGUUAAAACUUUCAACAACGGAUCUCUUGGUUCUGGCAUCGAUGAGGAACGCAGC